CCGGCCUGAGAGGGCGACCGGCCACACUGGGACUGAGACACGGCCCAGACUCCUACGGGAGGCAGCAGUGGGGAAUAUUCGCACAAUGGGCGAAAGCCUGAUGCAGCGACGCCGCGUGAGGGAUGACGGCCUUCGGGUUGUAAACCUCUUUCAGCAGGGAAGAAGCGAAAGUGACGGUACCUGCAGAAGAAGCGCCGGCUAACUACGUGCCAGCAGCCGCGGUAAUACGUAGGGCGCAAGCGUUGUCCGGAAUUAUUGGGCGUAAAGAGCUCGUAGGCGGCUUGUCACGUCGGUUGUGAAAGCCCGGGGCUUAACCCCGGGUCUGCAGUCGAUACGGGCAGGCUAGAGUUCGGUAGGGGAGAUCGGAAUUCCUGGUGUAGCGGUGAAAUGCGCAGAUAUCAGGAGGAACACCGGUGGCGAAGGCGGAUCUCUGGGCCGAUACUGACGCUGAGGAGCGAAAGCGUGGGGAGCGAACAGGAUUAGAUACCCUGGUAGUCCACGCCGUAAACGGUGGGCACUAGGUGUGGGCAACAUUCCACGUUGUCCGUGCCGCAGCUAACGCAUUAAGUG
rnacentral:rRNA from 1 species